rnacentral:rRNA from 1 species
UACAGAGACUGCAAGCGUUAUUCGGAUUCACUGGGCGUAAAGGGUGCGCAGGCGGCCAAGUGUGUCAGGUGUGAAAUCCCGAGGCUUAACCUCGGAACUGCGCCUGAAACUACUUGGCUAGAGUACUGGAGAGGGUAACGGAAUUCACGGUGUAGCAGUGAAAUGCGUAGAUAUCUGGAGGAACACCGGUGGCGAAGGCGGCAUCCUGGACCGGCACUGACGCUGAGGAGCGAAAGCCAGGGGAGCAAACGGG